CUGCGAGUGAAGAGGGAAGAGCUCAUCAUUGGAAUCUGGCAGCGUUGCGCUGUCCGAGUUGUAGAUGAGAAGAGUAGGUCAUCUGGACUGCGUGGUGUCCAAGUACAAUAGGCCGUCAGUGGGACAUCAUAGAGGGUGACAAUCCCGUCCUUGACAACCAACGUACGAGUCCAUUACGAUGCCUAUCUCAGAGAGUCGAGCAGUUUGGGAUUUGCUGCUUAAACAUGGGAGGUAGAUUCCUUCUAAAGCUAAAUACAGGCAAGAGACCGAUAGAGAACAAGUACCGCAAGGGAAAGAUGAAAUAGAACUCUGUGAAGGGAGUCAAAAAGACGUGAAAUUGUUGCGAGAGAAGCGAUUCAAGUCAGCGUAGCUAGGCCCAUCAAGCUUCUUGCUUUGGACUAGCUUUGCCAGCGGUCUUGUCCUUUUAGAGACUUGACUUUUGACGUGCCCUGUCCGGUCUAACGGGCAGGCCCUUCGGGGCCAGUGGCAUGGCUGGUGGAAUGGCUUGCAAUCGACCCGUCUUGAAACACGGACCAAGGAGUCUAACAUGUGUGCGAGUAUAAGGGUGGCAAACCCGUAUGCGCAAAGAAAGUGAUAGCCUUUUAUGGCUGAGAAUGGCCUGAUGACCAGACAAGCAAUAUUAUGUUCCUCGUACGGUCAUUGCCCAAGUCCCGUGGUCAGAUCCCAUGGACAUGGAGUUAGAGCAUACAUGCUAGGACCCGAAAGAUGGUGAACUAUGCCUGGACAAAGCGAAGCCAAAGGAAACUCUGGUGGAGGCUUGUAGCGAUUCUGACGUGCAAAUCGAUCGUCUGAUCUGGGUAUA
rnacentral:rRNA from 1 species